UUCUGGUUGAUCCUGCCAGAGGCCACUGCUAUCGGAGUUCGAUUAAGCCAUGCGAGUCGAGAGGGGAAAGCCCUCGGCAUACUGCUCAGUAACACGUGGAUAACCUGCCCUGCGGUGGGAAAUAACCCCGGGAAACUGGGGAUAAUGUCCCAUAGACUACGGAUACUGGAAUGUUCUGUAGUUCAAAGAUUUAUCGCCACAGGAUGGGUCUGCGGCCGAUUAGGUAGUUGUUGGGGUAACGGCCCAACAAGCCUUUGAUCGGUACGGGUUGUGGGAGCAAGAGCCCGGAGAUGGAUUCUGAGACACGAAUCCAGGCCCUACGGGGCGCAGCAGGCGCGAAAACUUUACAAUGCGGGAAACCGUGAUAAGGGAACUCCGAGUGUCCGUAAAUGCGGACUGUCCGUAUGUUUAAAAAGCAUGCGAAGAAAGGGCCGGGCAAGACCGGUGCCAGCCGCCGCGGUAAUACCGGCGGCUCGAGUGGUGGCCACUAUUAUUGGGCUUAAAGCGUUCGUAGCUGGGUUGUUAAGUUUCUUGGGAAAUCUACCGGCUUAACCGAUAGGCGUCCAAGGGAUACUGGCAAUCUAGGGACCGGGAGAGGUGAGGGGUACUUCAGGGGUAGGAGUGAAAUCCUGUAAUCCUUGGGGGACCACCUGUGGCGAAGGCGCCUCACCAGAACGGCUCCGACAGUGAGGGACGAAAGCUGGGGGAGCAAACCGGAUUAGAUACCCGGGUAGUCCCAGCCGUAAACGAUGCGCGUUAGGUGUAUCGAUGACCACGAGUCAUCGAGGUGCCGAAGGGAAACCGUGAAACGCGCCGCCUGGGAAGUACGGUCGCAAGGCUGAAACUUAAAGGAAUUGGCGGG
rnacentral:rRNA from 1 species